UCAUGUGAUAUAUAGGAUGAGUCACAUUACGUCAUUUUCGUGGGCUCGAUUUAGAAGAGCCAAUGACGUAUUUGUCGCGACCUUUUGGAUGCCGGACUCUAACGCGCGUGGUGUAAUGACGUCUGGAACCUUCCACAAGAUAAAGUACGCUAAUUAUGUCACGUCGCUUCUCUCCAAAUGAGGUAAACGCGGACUUUCUCGAGAAGGCAAAGGAGCAGUGGUAUGCAAGAGUGAGAAAGAGGAACAUUGGCGUCUUUCUUGGGUUUUUGGGGCUUGCGGCAAGCAUAUACGCCUUCACAAUAUACCGCGUGGGGCAGGAGAAAUUCCUAGACGAAGAUUUCGAUCAGAAAACGGCGCAGAAGUGAAGAGCCGAGGCUAUAUUGUAGCCAUUAGAAAAUUUGCAGACACUAGAGACCGCUAAAAGCGGCGCUGAUUGCCUCUUCAAUUAAAUGUAAAGUGUGGACUAGCCGCUCGUCGGCUGGCGUGUGUUGAUUGUCUUGACAAGAUCAAUUUGAUUAUUCAAGAUUCAA